GGAAGGCCCGCACAAGCGGUGGAGCAUGUGGUUUAAUUCGAAGCAACGCGAAGAACCUUACCAGGUCUUGACAUCCCGAUGCUAUUUCUAGAGAUAGAAAGUUACUUCGGUACAUCGGUGACAGGUGGUGCAUGGUUGUCGUCAGCUCGUGUCGUGAGAUGUCGGGUUAAGUCCCGCAACGAGCGCAACCCCUAUUGUUAGUUGCCAUCAUUCAGUUGGGCACUCUAGCGAGACUGCCGGUAAUAAACCGGAGGAAGGCGGGGAUGACGUCAAAUCAUCAUGCCCCUUAUGACCUGGGCUACACACGUGCUACAAUGGUUGGUACAACGAGUUGCGAGUCGGUGACGGCGAGCUAAUCUCUUAAAGCCAAUCUCAGUUCGGAUUGUAGGCUGCAACUCGCCUACAUGAAGUCGGAAUCGCUAGUAAUCGCGGAUCAGCACGCCGCGGUGAAUACGUUCCCGGGCCUU
rnacentral:rRNA from 1 species